rnacentral:rRNA from 1 species
CCCAGCGCUGAAUCUUUCGAUGUUACAUCGUAAAGAAAUGUAGCGUAUAGGUGUAGUUAUCGGUUUGUUUGGCGUAUCCAAAGUUCCUUUGAUAGGGGCCAUAUUCCAGAGAGGGUGCGAGACCUGUGCGGAUAGCGGAACAUGCCGUAUGAUUAUACCUUGGAGUCGGGUUGCUUGAAAGUGCAGCCUUAAGUGGGUGAUAAACUUCAUCUAAGGCUAAAUACGGACGCGAAUUCGAUAGCAAACAAGUACUGUGAAGGAAAGUUGCAAAGAACUUUGAAGAGAGAGUUCAAGAGAACGUGAAAUCGUUGAAGUGGAACCGGAGAGAGUUGACGUAGUAUGGUGGAUAAGUAUUGCAAGAAUCGCUUCAAAAAAUGUGAACGUGAUCGAACARUAUGUAUGUCACCAAUGACUGCGGUGACCGCAUCGACUACACGCUCUGAACCGUGUUGACAUGUUGCCUACUCUAGUAUAUAGAGUGGUGUCUUGUGUUACGUGGUGAAGUUUGUUGUUAUGUUGAUGUUGAUACGAGGAGCCUCCCUAUACUACCAGUAUUAAUUAUGUGUGUCAGUGUAAAAGUCGACCACCUCUCCGACCCGUCUUGAAACACGGACCGAGGAGUGUAACUUGUACGCGAGUCAAUGGGUGAAAAACCUUAAGGCGAAAUGAAAGUGAAGGCACGGUUAACCGGCUGACAUGGGAAACGUCCGGCGGCCUGUGUUGACGAGACGUUACACCAUGGCCCUGUCUUGUCUGCAUGCAGAUGGGCAGCGGUAGAGCGUACAGGUUGCGACCCGAAAGAUGGUGAACUAUGCCUGAGCAGGACGAAGCCAGAGGAAACUCUGGUGGAAGUCCGUAUCGGUUCUGACGUGCAAAUCGAUCGAUAGA